GAGUGGAAUUUUUACAAGAAGGGGAUAAUCCAUUGUCACCAGACAGAAUUCACCUGCACUGGAGGCACAGUCUCCACUAAGGGCUUCAUCUGAGUCUCUACCUGGGUCUCCACCUGGAUCUCCACCAUUUGCUUCUCAAGGGUCUCCAUCGCGGUCUCCUCCACAGACUUCUCCAGGAAGUCCUUUAAUCUCUGAUUCUGAUCUAAGGGCAGUAUUGCGUAAUCUGCAAUCAUAUGUUAAUGUUGAAGACAUGCCACCAACAGCAAACAGGAUUAAUGUUGUGAGGGGAGACAUUAUAGAAUCACCUUUCAGAGCAUUUAGAACGAGGCAGUUCAACCCUAAUUGCAAAUUGGAUGUGGUGUUUUUUGCGCAUGUGGUUAAGGUGAAGGAGCAGUGGACAAUGGUGGACCCACCAGGGAAUUUCUGACCUUUCUAAUGAAGGAACUUUUGAACUCGCGUUAUUUUGUGGGGCCUGUAUGGAGGAAGAACCUGGGACUGGACUCCAUAGGACUGUUUUGCCAGCUAACUGGGGAGCCAACACCACCUGUUUACAUUGUGGAGGUGCAUGAUGAAGACCUAAGUCAACAGCUCAACUGUCACGGAAUGGAAUGCACAGCAUUGUGGGAAACCAAAGGCGGCGAAGGAUACAUCUAUGCUGCCUUCAAAAAUCGGAUGAAGGAAAACAAAUCAGCUCACCUUAAACGCACCAAGUAAUUUUCCCUGUAUUAUUUUCCUCC
ensembl:lncRNA